UACGUAGGGUGCGAGCGUUGUCCGGAAUUAUUGGGCGUAAAGAGCUUGUAGGCGGUUUGUCGCGUCUGCCGUGAAAUUUCGAGGCUCAACCUCGAACUUGCGGUGGGUACGGGCAGACUAGAGUGUGGUAGGGGAGACUGGAAUUCCUGGUGGUAGCGGUGAAAUGCGUUGAUAUCAGAAGGAACGCCGGUGGCGAAAGCGCUCGACUGGACCUUUUCUGACGUGAGGCGCGAAAGCUAGGG
rnacentral:rRNA from 1 species